rnacentral:lncRNA from 1 species
CAAAAGACAAUGCAAGCAUUCGUAAUUCUGUUUUAGUUUUACUCUGGCCUGACUCAACACCUUUUUUGUAUCAAAUAUUAAUGCGCUGCUUCAAUUGUAGUACAUAAACAUUGACAGCGAUCCAGCGCUUCUGGGAUGUUCCGUGCCCUUUGGCGCUUCGCCUUCCUAAUGCUACGCCCAUUACGAAAGUAUUCUUGUGCUUGACCAAGCAUAGACAGACCGGUGCCCUUUUAAAAAUCUGGCGCCGAACGAUUUGCACAGACAAGAACCGACAUCAAAUUCGAGAGAUUUUUCAAAAAGAUCUACAACAUGUAGAAAUAGGAAGGGGAAAGGGAUGGAGUUGAAGGAACUCGCUUGGUCUCUAAAUGCCUCCCCGGUGGAUCAGCCUACUAGUACCAGUAACUUGCCAGCAAGCAAGCGAGCCGCUGUCGGGUAACACUCCCUUUGGAGGAUCUAUUUUGUUUCUUGCGAAGGAUAAAGGGAGCAGCCGGAAGGACACGGAAAGCGAAAGAUAGUGAUGAUACAAGCAGCACAAAGCCGACAGGAAAGCGUAUGGGAGGAAAAGAGAUGGGAAUGUCGCAACAUUUUGCUGUGCUUUAGGCCAUCACAAGUAGCCAGGAAAACGCAGAGCACUCAGCAAAGCAGAUAACCGACAGGUAUCAAUGCGAUGCCGGUGUCUAACCGUUGGUUGCAUUAGUUCACUCAGACGAGUGGGCUACAGACGAUGAGAAAACAACGAGAAGACGAACGUCAAAAAAAUGAAAGAGUUGCGAGCCCCACUACAUCUCGCGGUAAGGAGCGACAGCAGUUUGCGGUAUUCUACGGAAAAAGCACACCUCUGUCACAUUGAUGUGGGUGUCACUGAAUAAGGACUGCGAAGCAGCAGCGUUUUUCAAGACUAACAUUGUGUUCUAGAUAUUAAUUGAGAACCUGUCAGUCAGAAAAGAAAGGAAUAAUGUCUUGCCAUUGAGAGAGCAGAAUGACGAACAAGAUGAUCGUAUCUUGUAUAAACUCUUGUAGAGCAGCGAUAUCGUACUGGCGAACAAGCCACAGCAAUGGAUCAACUACCUCCCCGAAUCUCGUAGGCAGCGUUUUCGGGCUAAAAGUGGAAGCGGUUCAUCCCUAUAAACCAGUAUUGAAAGCGCACGUAGGCUACACCGGCUGUUGUACGGACAAUGUGUUCCUACUGCCGGCGGCAGAAGCAUGAAGGAGCCGGUCGUAGAGGGACGUGUGCAUACAGACAUCAUUAGGCCAUCGGACGUUUCUCUAUCCCCUCCACAUAAUUCUCUUGUCGGUUAUAUUACGACCGGGCCAAUGUAUAUGGUUUCUAUCUUGCUUUGGGUUGCGGGUUUGACAAGAUUUCUAUUUUAUUAAAUAUCCGCUCAAUAGCAGAGCGUGUAGAAAUUACGGCACGGAGAAGGAGCGUCCUCUGUUAUUCACAGUGACUCCUGGCUGAUAUCUGUGGACAGUAAUUAUAUCGUUGCAGCUUCUAAAUAUUUUGUCUUCACGUUCCCAUCUCUUCCACUCGACCGCCAACAGCGAGAAGAAGAAGACCAGUAGUAAAACAAAAUGGCAGCAGUACGUAACGACAACGGGAGUGGCCAAACGGGGUAGAAGAUGACAGCAAGAGCACAUCCUUGUUCACCUGGAGCUGAAAUUGACGAUACUCGCUAUGAUUUGGGACAUUGCCGUCUGCUUUUCCGACAAAAUAUUUCUUUAAGUUUUAUGAACGCUGUGUAUUGUGUUUAAUCACCAGCUCUAAUCUUGGUUUAUUAA